rnacentral:lncRNA from 10 species
CUUGUCUGAUGUGUUUCCUGUCUAGCAGCUGUGUGGGUGUUGGCUCAGCUACACCAGAGCCCCGCUGGGAUCAGGAUUUCUCCUUUCUUAGCUGGUUCCUGCUGCUAGGGCAUGAGAGGCUGGGAAGGGAGGACUGGGCUGUCUCCUGCUUCAGCCAACAAAGUGAAUCAGACAAAGAAUGAGGCUGAACUCAUCAAGGAUGCUGUAGAACCACAUGGACAUAAUCACAUAAUCAUGGUCCUUAAAGAAUUUUAAAUGUUUUUUUUCUUUAUCUGAUGGCUCCAUUGCAGACAGACUUGGCUGUGUCCACACCAGAGCAUGAGACCGUCACUGUUUUUUGGUUAUGUCAGUGAACUAUCUUCACUCCCUCCCACCAAGAAGCAUAGGAAUGUAUUCACCACCAGAUUAAAACCAGCAUCAAUUUGACUCUCUGCUCUACUGCACUCUAAGUUCUGUGAAUAUUAAUAGAAAUUUAUUUGUUGGAUGGUUGACUGCUUAAAUUCAUCUGCCGUUCCUCGGUUGGAGUCAUUCAGGCCAUUAAUGUUGAGCACGCGCCCACUCAAGUAGGGGCCAAGUGUAGGUCACAGGCAUGCAGCCAGUGUGUGUAACUAAAGGUCAGACUUGUAAAAUCCAGCACAUAAGAGAUGGUGUAAUACCGCCUAAAUUGAUGAUUUUGAAUAUAUUUUAGGUGCAAAGUGAUAUAGCAGCAGCUGAUUUUUCAUUCACAUUCAAUAACCUUCAAGCCCCAGGUCUAACAACCACCUUCCUGUGAGUGUCACCUACUGCUCCUAUGCUAUCCAUGCAGUGCAGGCGCCUCUCAUGGGUUCCAUCAUGUCAUCUGCAAUGGUGAGGUGCUACCAGGAACAUCACUGCAGAAGGGUGUGUAGUUAUCUGGUGACAGACUUAAUUAACUAUGUCAUGCAGUCACUGUGCAGUCAUAGACCAAUUACUUAACUUCUCAGGGCCUGUGCUUACUCAUUUGUAAGAUGGGGAUAAUAAUAACCUUGUAGAGCUGUUUUGGGUGAAAUGACUUCAAAGAAAGAGGUAAAGCUUUGGAAAAGCACCUGGAAGAGUGCAAAUGCCGAGUUAUCAAUUAUUGUUUUCAAAAGGAGUUGGACAAACUAAAUCACUUCAGUGAGAGCAUCAACGAUAAAUAAGUAAGCAGGGUGCAGUGGCUCAUGCCUGUAAUCCCAGCAUUUUGGGAGGCCAGGGUGGGUGAAUCACUUGGGGUCAGGAGUUCCAGACCAGCCUGG